rnacentral:rRNA from 1 species
AAUGAACGUUGGCGGCGUGGAUUAGGCAUGCAAGUCGAACGGGCCCGCAAGGGUCAGUGGCGGAAGGGUGAGUAAGGCGACGGCAACCAACCCCGAGGAUGGGUACAGCCGCGGGAAACUGCGGGUAAUCCCCAGCGAUGCGAGGGCGUCGGCAUCGACGCUUCGCCAAAUGGAUUCGUCCGCCUCGGGACGGGCCGUCGUGGUAUUAGGUUGUUGGCGGGGUAACGGCCCACCAAGCCUGCGAUGCCUACCGGGCGUGCGAGCGUGGCCCGGCACACUGGGACUGAGACACUGCCCAGACUCCUACGGGAGGCUGCAGUCGAGAAUCUUCGGCAAUGGGCGCAAGCCUGACCGAGCGACGCCGCGUGGAGGACGAAGGCCUUCGGGUUGUAAACUCCUGUCGAGGGGGAGAAAGGCUCCGCGAGGGGCUUGAUCGAUCCCUGGAGGAAGCACGGGCUAAGUUCGUGCCAGCCGCCGCCGUAAAAC